GAUGAACGCUAGCGGCAGGCUUAAUACAUGCAAGUCGAGGGGCAACAGGGGUAGCAAUACCUGCUGGCGACCGGCAAACGGGUGCGGAACACGUACAGAACCUUCCUUUAAGCGGGGAGUAGCCACUAGAAAUAGUGGAUUAAUACCCACUAGUAAUAGUUUAAUUGGCAUCAUUAGUAUAUUUAAAGUAAUUUAUUCACUUAAAGUAAUGG
rnacentral:rRNA from 1 species